UUAGAUGUUAAAAAAAUCUAUGUGUUUGAUGCGGGAAUGGCUUCUCCCAUGAGUCAUUAUAGAUUUUUUUAUGAAUCCUAACUAUUAGCUAUUAGCUAUUCUCCAUUAUGGAGUGGAGAUGAAUGUGUAGAAGAAGCAGUAUAUUGAUAAAGAUAAUUUUUUCCAAAAUCAAAAGAGUGAUUGGAUUGCUUAAACUCUGACUGAGAUUUAACUCGGCUCAGUUGCUUUACCACAAAGCAGAUCUUAACAAGAAUACCAAAUUAUCAAUGUCUCUGUUUUUUCUUGCUCAUCCAUCAUGCUACUGUUCUGAUAUAAGGGUGAUUACAGAUUAAGUGAUAUGCAGUCUAUUUGGAGGAGUAACACAGUAAAGCUGUUUCAAGAAUGAGACACAAUAAUAAUGUGUUGAGAGAACUUUAAAACUGCAGUUCACAGUCAUAGAACAGCAGCAGAGAACCUCAACAUAUUUGACCGCGGAUGACAUCGCACUUGAGGUCAAGUAGGGAAGCUCCUCAAUGCCAUCAGGCCACCAGGCUAUUGACAAAAAUUAUUAACACUACAACAUUAUAAAUAGCAGCUGUUUGGGCUGCUUUGCUAGGUCUUGACGAUGACUGUAAACUUACAAACUAGAAAAACCCGAGAAGAAAACCUAAAAACUCUUGUAUGCCUGUAGGUUGGAGGAACUAGGUAGGUUUAUCGACUUGAAACCCUAGCUAUUUCCAGCAACCGAGAUUUUUCUGGUAACUCCGCUGUGGUGUUAUUCUCUACAGUCCGAUCUUCAUCCCACAUACCAAUGAUGAUGUGGUAGUCAUUAUUCAUAUUGUUGCUUGAUCAGGGUACAUUGUUUCAUGGUUCAUGGUGUCGUGGUUGGUAACCUGCCCUUGCACACUGCCUUGGUGGUUCAUCACCUGCAUCUCUUGUGUGGGGAAUUCUGCUGCAGGAUUGUCAAUCAGGUAUGUUUCUAUGUCCUCAUCUGCCAAGGCUGUGGCUUCGGUUAUGUCAACACCAUCGAAUACACAACCCUCUAACAUUUCAAUUUGAUUUCCAUUCUGUUGAUUGAUGAAAAUGUGGUCAUUUAUUACCAUCGGGCUAUUCAUGGUGUCCUUGUCGGUCAGCUGCCGUUGAGCACUAGUGGGGUGCUCCAUUACUGGCAUCUCUUGUACCUGGAGUUCCAUUGUAGGGUUAGGAAUCAGGCCUGUUUCCCCAGACUCAACUGGUAAAGCGGCUGCGGAUUGAGUAAUACCCAUACCACUGGCGACCCCAUUCCCUGGAAUCCCAUUUGCAUUCUGUCCACCGGUGAUCAUGUGGCUGCUUUGACCGAUAUUUGUUGCCUGCGGGUUAUUCAUGGUACUGUGGCUGAUCAGCUGUUCUUCAGGGCGAGGUGUCCGGAGGUUGGCUGCAGGAUUCCUUAUCAGACGUGUUUCCCUAGAAUCAAGUGGCAAGGCUGCAGUUUGAAUGUUGUCAACAUCAAUGGAGACAGCUUUCCCCGGAAUCCGAUUUGCAUUCUGCCCACCAAUGACCCUGUAGUAGUUACUACUACCAUAGCUGCUUGGACUGGGAUGUAUUGCCUUCGUACUAUUCAUGGUGAUAUGGUUGAUCUGCUGCCCUUGAGCAUUAGCUUGGUGCUUUGCCAUCAGCAUCUCUUGCCUCUGAAGUCCAGCUCCAGGGCAUGGUCGACUGGAAUCCUGCAAGCCUGCAGUACAAUGAAAGAAUGAAUUCUGCUACUUGAAGGCUCAAAAAGAACGAGUGGAAAGCUCAAGGAAGGGGCAAACCUUAUAUUAACCAACAUCAUUCCUUGAAGCAAAUUACAAAAACAUCUUGUGCUCAAACUGAGUUACACAAGAAUAUUCAAACAUUAAAAGUAGUGGCAUCAUACCAAUUGGAUCGAGUUUUCUCUGCA